GCACCAUUAGCUCAGGUGGUUAGAGCACUUGACUUUUAAUCAAGGUGUCCGCAGUUCGAGUCUGCGAUGGUGCACCA
rnacentral:tRNA from 1 species